CAGUCGUACCUUCGGGUAAUCAGCCUUUCGGGUGCGAUUCUGUGGGGUGUGAAGAGUUAAACGCCUUCACGUUUUGCAUAUUCGUGCUCUUGGGUGUACUUGCCCGUGUGGUUGGUUAACAUCAAUUUUGGACGCCAUAAAAUGGCUGGAGGAAUGUAGCUUCGAUCUCGUAUUGAAGUGUUAUAGCCUUCGGUAGAUGUGGUUUUCGAGAUUGAGGAUUGCAACGGAUACCCUUCGGGGCUACCUAUCUGAUCUCUGAUCGUUGCUCUGGUGCCGAAAGCUUGCUUACGGUUAUCAAAGUCGAUGGUCAAUAUGUUAGAAUAGGUUAAAUUCGUUAAGGAUGUUGACGUAAUGGCUUUAAACGACCCGUCUUGAAACACGGACCGAGGAGUCUAAC
rnacentral:rRNA from 1 species